AUUCUUUUAUCAGCAUAUACAUUGGAAUAUGAGCUUUUUUUAUUCUUAAAGAUAAGAGCAAGAAAGAGAUUUCAUCAAGUAAGUAUAUAUGUUUAUGCGAAUGAUCCAUACCCAUACGCGUUUUACGUAUUUGUUAGUGAGAAAGGACGUGGGAAUGCAUAUUCGGUACUGAAAUCACCUCAGAUGCAAAAGCGAGAAAAAUAAUAUGCUUCUAUGGGAUUAUUCACAAUAGCAUGGUUCACUCAGAGAUUCUGGUUUUCUGCUAAUUUAUUCUCUUUUUCCUGAGAACCAUACUGAAAGUGACUACUUCGGAUGCGUUAAAAUUUCUUGGGGUGGCAUAAUAGUACUCACUUAGCUUGCACAUGUUCAGGUUGUCGGGAACUUAUUGGCUUUGAACCUUGGCGUCCCUCUUAGCAAGAGUAUCAGAAUGAAGGAACAACACCAUAUCCUGUGUCGUACAUUAGCAUUGUGUUGAAUCUGUGGUCCUCGUCUUCGAUCUCCCUCCUCUUUG